rnacentral:tRNA from 1 species
CUAUUUUGGCAGAUUAAUUGUGUUAAAUUUAGAAUUUAUUAAUGUAGACUUACUACAAAUAGU